rnacentral:rRNA from 1 species
GACGAACGCUGGCGGCGUGCUUAACACAUGCAAGUCGAACGGUAAGGCCCCUUCGGGGGUACACGAGUGGCGAACGGGUGAGUAACACGUGAGUAACCUGCCCUUGACUCUGGGAUAACAUCUGGAAACAGGUGCUAAUACCGGAUAUUCAGCUUCCUCUGCAUGGGGGUUGUUGGAAAGCUCCGGCGGUCAAGGAUGGACUCGCGGCCUAUCAGCUUGUUGGUGAGGUAAUGGCUCACCAAGGCUCCGACGGGUAGCCGGCCUGAGAGGGCGACCGGCCACAUUGGGACUGAGAUACGGCCCAAACUCCUACGGGAGGCAGCAGUGGGGAAUAUUGCACAAUGGGCGCAAGCCUGAUGCAGCAACGCCGCGUGCGGGAUGACGGCCUUCGGGUUGUAAACCGCUUUCAUCCAUGACGAAGCGAGAGUGACGGUAGUGGAAGAAGAAGCACCGGCUAACUACGUGCCAGCCGCCGCGGUAAAAC